AGAUUGAACGCUGGCGGCAGGCCUAACACAUGCAAGUCGAGCGGUAGAGAGGUGCUUGCACCUCUUGAGAGCGGCGGACGGGUGAGUAAUGCCUAGGAAUCUGCCUAGUGGUGGGGGAUAACGUUCGGAAACGGACGCUAAUACCGCAUACGUCCUACGGGAGAAAGGCGGGGACCUUCGGGCCUCGCGCCAUUAGAUGAGCCUAGGUCGGAUUAGCUAGUUGGUGAGGUAAUGGCUCACCAAGGCGACGAUCCGUAACUGGUCUGAGAGGAUGAUCAGUCACACUGGAACUGACGACACGGUCCAGACCUCCGUACGGGAGGCCAGCAGGUAGGGAAUAGUUGGACAAGUGGGGACGAAAGCCGUGAACUCCAGCCAUCGCCGCGGUGGUGGUUAGAAGGUAACGGUC
rnacentral:rRNA from 1 species